rnacentral:rRNA from 1 species
UGGGGAAUAUUGGACAAUGGGCGAAAGCCUGAUCCAGCCAUGCCGCGUGUGUGAAGAAGGUCUUCGGAUUGUAAAGCACUUUAAGUUGGGAGGAAGGGCAGUAAGCGAAUACCUUGCUGUUUUGACGUUACCGACAGAAUAAGCACCGGCUAACUCUGUGCCAGCAGCCGCGGUAAUACAGAGGGUGCAAGCGUUAAUCGGAAUUACUGGGCGUAAAGCGCGCGUAGGUGGUUCGUUAAGUUGAAUGUGAAAGCCCCGGGCUCAACCUGGGAACUGCAUCCAAAACUGGCGAGCUAGAGUAGGGCAGAGGGUGGUGGAAUUGCCUGUGUAGCGGAGAAAUGCGUAGAUAUAGGAAGGAACACCAGUGGCGAAGGCGACCACCUGGGCUCAUACUGACACUGAGGUGCGAAAGCGUGGGGAGCAAACAGG